rnacentral:rRNA from 1 species
GACGAACGCUGGCGGCGUGCUUAACACAUGCGAGUCGAACGGAAAGGCCCUGCUUUUGUGGGGUGCUCGAGUGGCGAACGGGUGAGUAACACGUGAGUAACCUGCCCUUGACUUUGGGAUAACUUCAGGAAACUGGGGCUAAUACCGGAUAGGAGCUCCUGCUGCAUGGUGGGGGUUGGAAAGUUUCGGCGGUUGGGGAUGGACUCGCGGCUUAUCAGCUUGUUGGUGGGGUAGUGGCUUACCAAGGCUUUGACGGGUAGCCGGCCUGAGGGGGUGACCGGCCACAUGGGGACUAGGGUACGGCCCAGACUCCUACGGGAGGCAGCAGUGGGGAAUAUUGCACAAUGGGCGGAAGCCUGAUGCAGCAACGCCGCGUGCGGGAUGACGGCCUUCGGGUUGUAAACCGCUUUCGCCUGUGACAAAGCGUGAGUGACGGUAUGGGUAAAGAAGCACCGGCUAACUACGUG